UCGCCCUGUGAUUAAAAAAAGACGCGUUAUUCUGAGGGGUCAUACCGAAAACCGGUUUUCUCCCCUAUUCUUCUAUGCUUCUCAUCUACUCUUUCUGUACCUGUACCACCUCCUCCUUUCCUCCAUCUGUUCCUCCCUCUAAGGCUGGCUAUCGGUCCACUGACUGCGAUUAUGAGAUCUGAGGGUGU